UACGGAGGGUGCAAACGUUGCUCGGAAUCAUUGGGCGUAAAGCGCACGUAGGCGGCUUGGCAAGUCGGAUGUGAAAUCCCUCGGCUCAACCAAGGAAGUGCAUCCGAAACUGCCGAGCUUGAGUACUUAAGAGGAUCGCGGAAUUCCCGGUGUAGAGGUGAAAUUCGUAGAUAUCGGGAGGAACACCAGUGGCGAAGGCGGCGAUCUGGGAAGAUACUGACGCUGAGGUGCGAAAGCGUGGGGAGCAAACAGG
rnacentral:rRNA from 1 species